GAUGAACGCUGACAGAAUGCUUAACACAUGCAAGUCGACUCGAGUCUUCGGACCUGGGUGGCGCACGGGUGAGUAACGCGUAAAGAACUUGCCUCUUAGACCGGGACAACAUCUGGAAACGGAUGCUAAUACCGGAUAUUAUGGUUUUUUCGCAUGGAGGAAUCAUGAAAGCUAGAUGCGCUAAGAGAGAGCUGUGCGUCCCAUUAGCUAGUUGGUGAGGUAACGGCCCACCAAGGCAAUGAUGGGUAGCCGGCCUGAGAGGGUGAACGGCCACAAGGGGACUGAGACACGGCCCUUACUCCUACGGGAGGCAGCAGUGGGGAAUAUUGGACAAUGGACCACAAGUCUGAUCCAGCAAUUCUGUGUGCACGAUGACGUUUUUCGGAAUGUAAAGUGCUUUCAGUCGGGAAGAAGUCAGUGACGGUACCGACAGAAGAAGCGACGGCUAAAUACGUGCCAGCAGCCGCGGUAAUACGUAUGUCGCAAGCGUUAUCCGGAUUUAUUGGGCGUAAAGCGCGUCUAGGCGGCAAGGAAAGUCUGAUGUGAAAAUGCGGAGCUCAACUCCGUAUGGCGUUGGAAACUGCCUUACUAGAGUACUGGAGAGGUAGGCGGAACUACAAGUGUAGAGGUGAAAUUCGUAGAUAUUUGUAGGAAUGCCGAUGGGGAAGCCAGCCUACUGGACAGAUACUGACGCUAAAGCGCGAAAGCGUGGGUAGCAAACAGG
rnacentral:rRNA from 1 species